rnacentral:rRNA from 1 species
UACGUAGGGUGCGAGCGUUGUCCGGAAUUACUGGGCGUAAAGAGCUCGUAGGUGGUUUGUCGCGUCGUCUGUGAAAUUCCGGGGCUUAACUUCGGGCGUGCAGGCGAUACGGGCAAUACUUGAGUGCUGUAGGGGAGACUGGAAUUCCUGGUGUAGCGGUGGAAUGCGCAGAUAUCAGGAGGAACACCAGCGGCGAAGGCGGCGCUCUGGGCCGGAACUGACGCUGAGGAGCGAAAGCGUGGGUAGCAAACAGGAUUAGAUACCCU